CUACGGGCGGCAGCAGUGGGGAAUAUUGGACAAUGGGCGAAAGCCUGAUCCAGCCAUGCCGCGUGUGUGAAGAAGGCCUUCGGGUUGUAAAGCACUUUCAGUGGGGAAGAAAGCCUUGGGGCUAAUACCCUCGAGGAAGGACAUCACCCCAGAAGAAGCACCGGCUAACUCCGUGCCAGCAGCCGCGGUAAUACGGAGGGUGCGAGCGUUAAUCGGAAUUACUGGGCGUAAAGCGCGCGUAGGCGGUCUGAUAAGCCGGUUGUGAAAGCCCCGGGCUCAACCUGGGAACGGCAUCCGGAACUGUCAGGCUAGAGUGCAGGAGAGGAAGGUAGAAUUCCCGGUGUAGCGGUGAAAUGCGUAGAGAUCGGGAGGAAUACCAGUGGCGAAGGCGGCCUUCUGGACUGACACUGACGCUGAGGUGCGAAAGCGUGGGUAGCAAACAGGAUUAGAUACCCCAGUAGUC
rnacentral:rRNA from 1 species